GGGGGUGUAGCUUAACGGUUAAAGCCACCGGCUCAUAACCGGCCCGAUGGGGGUUCGAAUCCCUCCGCCCCUACCA
rnacentral:tRNA from 1 species